rnacentral:rRNA from 1 species
GACGAACGCUGGCGGCGUGCUUAACACAUGCAAGUCGAACGGAAAGGCCCUGCUUUUGUGGGGUGCUCGAGUGGCGAACGGGUGAGUAACACGUGAGUAACCUGCCCUUGACUUUGGGAUAACUUCAGGAAACUGGGGCUAAUACCGGAUAGGAGCUCCUGCUGCAUGGUGGGGGUUGGAAAGUUUCGGCGGUUGGGGAUGGACUCGCGGCUUAUCAGCUUGUUGGUGGGGUAGUGGCUUACCAAGGCUUUGACGGGUAGCCGGCCUGAGAGGGUGACCGGCCACAUUGGGACAGAGAUACGGCCCAGACUCCUCCGGGAGGCAGCAGUGGGGAAUAUUGCACAAUGGGCGGAAGCCUGAUGCAGCAACGCCGCGUGCGGGAUGACGGCCUUCGGGUUGUAAACCGCUUUCGCCUGUGACGAAGCGUGAGUGACGGUAAUGGGUAAAGAAGCACCGGCUAACUACG